CCAAACAUAACAGAUAGUGUGUGGAAGAUGCUGUCACUGCAUUACUGGGUCAUGUUUCCUUUGUUUGUGAUCACACUGAAAAGUGUCAACUGUCAACAACUGACUGCAGUGAAGGAUAAAGAGUCCAGUUUAGAAGGAAGCACUGUGACUCUGUCCUGCAAAUAUUCUAAAACUGUGGCUGCUACUGAUGAUUUCUUCUGGUAUCGAAAACAUCCAGGAAAACCUCCAGAGUUCCUCAUCUUUCACUAUGGAACACAAAAUGUAACAACAGCUGGACUGUUUGUUACAGUGAGUGAUGACAAGAACCACAUCAUCAUGAAGAUCUCCUCUGCUGCAGUGUCAGACUCUGCUGUGUACUACUGUGCUCUGAGGCCCACAGUGACAGGAAACAGCAAAACUCUGUACAAAAACCUUUGGAGCAAAGACAACAGAAAACUCCACAACAUCCACUAGAGGGAGACACACCCAGUUACACUUCUGUGAUCUG